rnacentral:rRNA from 1 species
UACGUAGGGGGCUAGCGUUGUCCGGAAUCAUUGGGCGUAAAGCGCGUGUAGGCGGUCCGGUAAGUCCGCUGUGAAAGUCGGGGGGCUCAACCCUCGGAUGCCGGUGGAGUACUGUCGGGCUUGAGUACGGAAGAGGCGAGUGGAAUUCCUGGUGUAGCGGUGGAAUGCGCAGAUAUCAGGAGGAACACCAAUAGCGAAGGCAGCUCGCUGGGACGGUACUGACACUGAGGCGCGAAAGCGUGGGGAGCGAACAGGA